rnacentral:rRNA from 1 species
GGACUACAGGGGUAUCUAAUCCUGUUCGCUCCCCUAGCUUUCGCGCCUCAGCGUCAGAUGCCAGCCAGGACACUGCCUUCGCCUUUGGUAUUCCUCCGGAUAUCUACGCAUUUCACCACUCCACCCGGAAUUCUAUGUCCCUCUCUGGCCCUCAAGUGCUUCAGUUUUCGGUAGGCCUUUCCCAGUUAAGCCGGGAACUGUCACUCCGAACUUAGAGCACCGCCUGCACGCCCUUUACGCCCAGUAACUCCGGACAACGCUUGCCCCCUACGUAUUACCGCGGCUGCUGGCAC